rnacentral:pre_miRNA from 1 species
GGAAUAUAAGAACCCGUCUCUUAACUUUUAACUAAAAAAACUAAGAACCGGUUCUUAAAUAAGAGUUUUAAGAACCGGUUUUUAACUUUUUUAGUUAAAAGUUAAGAGACGGGUUCUUAUAUUCC